rnacentral:rRNA from 1 species
AUGAACGCUAGCGACAGGCUUAACACAUGCAAGUCGAGGGGCAGCACAGGUAGCAAUACCGGGUGGCGACCGGCGCACGGGUGAGUAACGCGUAUGCAACUUACCUAUCAGAGGGGGAUAACCCGGCGAAAGUCGGACUAAUACCGCAUGAAGCAGGGGCCCCGCAUGGGGAUAUUUGCUAAAGAUUCAUCGCUGAUAGAUAGGCAUGCGUUCCAUUAGGCAGUUGGCGGGGUAACGGCCCACCAAACCGACGAUGGAUAGGGGUUCUGAGAGGAAGGUCCCCCACAUUGGUACUGAGACACGGACCAAACUCCUACGGGAGGCAGCAGUGAGGAAUAUUGGUCAAUGGCCGAGAGGCUGAACCAGCCAAGUCGCGUGAGGGAUGAAGGUUCUAUGGAUCGUAAACCUCUUUUAUAAGGGAAUAAAGUGCGGGACGUGUCCCGUUUUGUAUGUACCUUAUGAAUAAGGAUCGGCUAACUCCGUGCCAGCAGCCGCGGUAAUACGGAGGAUCCGAGCGUUAUCCGGAUUUAUUGGGUUUAAAGGGUGCGUAGGCGGCCUUUUAAGUCAGCGGUGAAAGUCUGUGGCUCAACCAUAGAAUUGCCGUUGAAACUGGGGGGCUUGAGUAUGUUUGAGGCAGGCGGAAUGCGUGGUGUAGCGGUGAAAUGCAUAGAUAUCACGCAGAACCCCGAUUGCGAAGGCAGCCUGCCAAGCCAUGACUGACGCUGAUGCACGAAAGCGUGGGGAUCAAACAGGAUUAGAUACCCUGGUAGUCCACGCAGUAAACGAUGAUCACUAGCUGUUUGCGAUACACUGUAAGCGGCACAGCGAAAGCGUUAAGUGAUCCACCUGGGGAGUACGCCGGCAACGGUGAAACUCAAAGGAAUUGACGGGGGCCCGCACAAGCGGAGGAACAUGUGGUUUAAUUCGAUGAUACGCGAGGAACCUUACCCGGGUUUGAACGCAUUCGGACCGAGGUGGAAACACCUUUUCUAGCAAUAGCCGUUUGCGAGGUGCUGCAUGGUUGUCGUCAGCUCGUGCCGUGAGGUGUCGGCUUAAGUGCCAUAACGAGCGCAACCCUUGCCACUAGUUACUAACAGGUAAAGCUGAGGACUCUGGUGGGACUGCCAGCGUAAGCUGCGAGGGAGGCGGGGAUGACGUCAAAUCAGCACGGCCCUUACAUCCGGGGCGACACACGUGUUACAAUGGCGUGGACAAAGGGAGGCCACCUGGUGACAGGGAGCGAAUCCCCAAACCACGUCUCAGUUCGGAUCGGAGUCUGCAACCCGACUCCGUGAAGCUGGAUUCGCUAGUAAUCGCGCAUCAGCCAUGGCGCGGUGAAUACGUUCCCGGGCCUUGUACACACCGCCCGUCAAGCCAUGGGAGCCGGGGGUACCUGAAGUCCGUAACCGAAAGGAUCGGCCUAGGGUAAAACUGGUGACUGGGGCU